GGUUAAGCGACUAAGCGUACACGGUGGAUGCCCUGGCAGUCAGAGGCGAUGAAGGACGUGCUAAUCUGCGAUAAGCGUCGGUAAGGUGAUAUGAACCGUUAUAACCGGCGAUUUCCGAAUGGGGAAACCCAGUGUGAUUCGUCACACUAUCAUUAACUGAAUCCAUAGGUUAAUGAGGCGAACCGGGGGAACUGAAACAUCUAAGUACCCCGAGGAAAAGAAAUCAACCGAGAUUCCCCCAGUAGCGGCGAGCGAACGGGGAGCAGCCCAGAGCCUGAAUCAGUGUGUGUGUUAGUGGAAGCGUCUGGAAAGGCGUGCGAUACAGGGUGACAGCCCCGUACACAAAAAUGCACAUACUGUGAGCUCGAUGAGUAGGGCGGGACACGUGGUAUCCUGUCUGAAUAUGGGGGGACCAUCCUCCAAGGCUAAAUACUCCUGACUGACCGAUAGUGAACCAGUACCGUGAGGGAAAGGCGAAAAGAACCCCGGCGAGGGGAGUGAAAAAGAACCUGAAACCGUGUACGUACAAGCAGUGGGAGCACGCUUAGGCGUGUGACUGCGUACCUUUUGUAUAAUGGGUCAGCGACUUAUAUUCUGUAGCAAGGUUAACCGAAUAGGGGAGCCGAAGGGAAACCGAGUCUUAACUGGGCGUUAAGUUGCAGGGUAUAGACCCGAAACCCGGUGAUCUAGCCAUGGGCAGGUUGAAGGUUGGGUAACACUAACUGGAGGACCGAACCGACUAAUGUUGAAAAAUUAGCGGAUGACUUGUGGCUGGGGGUGAAAGGCCAAUCAAACCGGGAGAUAGCUGGUUCUCCCCGAAAGCUAUUUAGGUAGCGCCUCGUGAAUUCAUCUCCGGGGGUAGAGCACUGUUUCGGCAAGGGGGUCAUCCCGACUUACCAACCCGAUGCAAACUGCGAAUACCGGAGAAUGUUAUCACGGGAGACACACGGCGGGUGCUAACGUCCGUCGUGAAGAGGGAAACAACCCAGACCGCCAGCUAAGGUCCCAAAGUCAUGGUUAAGUGGGAAACGAUGUGGGAAGGCCCAGACAGCCAGGAUGUUGGCUUAGAAGCAGCCAUCAUUUAAAGAAAGCGUAAUAGCUCACUGGUCGAGUCGGCCUGCGCGGAAGAUGUAACGGGGCUAAACCAUGCACCGAAGCUGCGGCAGCGACGCUUAUGCGUUGUUGGGUAGGGGAGCGUUCUGUAAGCCUGUGAAGGUGUGCUGUGAGGUAUGCUGGAGGUAUCAGAAGUGCGAAUGCUGACAUAAGUAACGAUAAAGCGGGUGAAAAGCCCGCUCGCCGGAAGACCAAGGGUUCCUGUCCAACGUUAAUCGGGGCAGGGUGAGUCGACCCCUAAGGCGAGGCCGAAAGGCGUAGUCGAUGGGAAACAGGUUAAUAUUCCUGUACUUGGUGUUACUGCGAAGGGGGACGGAGAAGGCUAUGUUGGCCGGGCGACGGUUGUCCCGGUUUAAGCGUGUAGGCUGGUUUUCCAGGCAAAUCCGGAAAAUCAAGGCCGAGGCGUGAUGACGAGGCACUACGGUGCUGAAGCAACAAAUGCCCUGCUUCCAGGAAAAGCCUCUAAGCAUCAGGUAACAUCAAAUCGUACCCCAAACCGACACAGGUGGUCAGGUAGAGAAUACCAAGGCGCUUGAGAGAACUCGGGUGAAGGAACUAGGCAAAAUGGUGCCGUAACUUCGGGAGAAGGCACGCUGAUACGUAGGUGAAGCGACUUGCUCGUGGAGCUGAAAUCAGUCGAAGAUACCAGCUGGCUGCAACUGUUUAUUAAAAACACAGCACUGUGCAAACACGAAAGUGGACGUAUACGGUGUGACGCCUGCCCGGUGCCGGAAGGUUAAUUGAUGGGGUUAGCGCAAGCGAAGCUCUUGAUCGAAGCCCCGGUAAACGGCGGCCGUAACUAUAACGGUCCUAAGGUAGCGAAAUUCCUUGUCGGGUAAGUUCCGACCUGCACGAAUGGCGUAAUGAUGGCCAGGCUGUCUCCACCCGAGACUCAGUGAAAUUGAACUCGCUGUGAAGAUGCAGUGUACCCGCGGCAAGACGGAAAGACCCCGUGAACCUUUACUAUAGCUUGACACUGAACAUUGAGCCUUGAUGUGUAGGAUAGGUGGGAGGCUUUGAAGUGUGGACGCCAGUCUGCAUGGAGCCGACCUUGAAAUACCACCCUUUAAUGUUUGAUGUUCUAACGUGGACCCGUGAUCCGGGUUGCGGACAGUGUCUGGUGGGUAGUUUGACUGGGGCGGUCUCCUCCUAAAGAGUAACGGAGGAGCACGAAGGUUGGCUAAUCCUGGUCGGACAUCAGGAGGUUAGUGCAAUGGCAUAAGCCAGCUUGACUGCGAGCGUGACGGCGCGAGCAGGUGCGAAAGCAGGUCAUAGUGAUCCGGUGGUUCUGAAUGGAAGGGCCAUCGCUCAACGGAUAAAAGGUACUCCGGGGAUAACAGGCUGAUACCGCCCAAGAGUUCAUAUCGACGGCGGUGUUUGGCACCUCGAUGUCGGCUCAUCACAUCCUGGGGCUGAAGUAGGUCCCAAGGGUAUGGCUGUUCGCCAUUUAAAGUGGUACGCGAGCUGGGUUUAGAACGUCGUGAGACAGUUCGGUCCCUAUCUGCCGUGGGCGCUGGAGAACUGAGGGGGCUGCUCCUAGUACGAGAGGACCGGAGUGGACGCAUCACUGGUGUUCGGGUUGUCAUGCCAAUGGCACUGCCCGGUAGCUAAAUGCGGAAGAGAUAAGUGCUGAAAGCAUCUAAGCACGAAACUUGCCCCGAGAUGAGUUCUCCCUGACCCUUUAAGGGUCCUGAAGGAACGUUGAAGACGACGACGUUGAUAGGCCGGGUGUGUAAGCGCAGCGAUGCGUUGAGCUAACCGGUACUAAUGAACCGUGAGGCUUAACCUU
rnacentral:rRNA from 1 species